rnacentral:rRNA from 1 species
AACGCUAGCUACAGGCUUAACACAUGCAAGUCGAGGGGCAGCAUGAACUUAGCUUGCUAAGUUUGAUGGCGACCGGCGCACGGGUGAGUAACGCGUAUCCAACCUUCCGUACACUCAGGAAUAGCCUUUCGAAAGAAAGAUUAAUACCUGAUGGUAUCUUAAGCGCACAUGCAAAUAAGAUUAAAGAAUUUCGGUAAGCGAUGGGGAUGCGUUCCAUUAGAUAGUUGGCGGGGUAACGGCCCACCAAGUCUACGAUGGAUAGGGGUUCUGAGAGGAAGGUCCCCCACAUUGGAACUGAGACACGGUCCAAACUCCUACGGGAGGCAGCAGUGAGGAAUAUUGGUCAAUGGACGAGAGUCUGAACCAGCCAAGUAGCGUGAAGGAUGACUGCCCUAUGGGUUGUAAACUUCUUUUAUAAGGGAAUAAAGUGAGGGACGUGUCCCUUUUUGUAUGUACCUUAUGAAUAAGGAUCGGCUAACUCCGUGCCAGCAGCCGCGGUAAUACGGAGGAUCCAAGCGUUAUCCGGAUUUAUUGGGUUUAAAGGGAGCGUAGGUUGACAUAUAAGUCAGCUGUGAAAGUUUACGGCUCAACCGUGAAAUUGCAGUUGAUACUGUAUGUCUUGAGUGUACAAGAGGUGGGCGGAAUUCGUGGUGUAGCGGUGAAAUGCUUAGAUAUCACGAAGAACUCCGAUUG